rnacentral:lncRNA from 1 species
GCGAGACUCAUGGACACGCUGGGGGAGAAGAUUCCUUCCCGUCCACUCCUUCCUUCCACAUGUGGAAGCUCAGGCAGAGAGAAGUCAAGUCGCUUGCCCAAGGUCUGUGAGUCUUAAUAUUUAAAUGCUGAAGAUAAACUCCAAGCCCUUCGAAGCACGGCCCUUUUGAUUUUGCGCCAACCCCCGGUGCAGCCAGUGAAGAACUUGUCCUUCACUCGAUGAGUUAGAGCUUUACUCAGGGCACAGGUUGAAAAGUCCAGUUUAGUAAACACGGGCAUUAGCAGUAACCCAAUUCCCUGCGUGCUUCCUGGGUUCCAAGCACUAUGCUGAAUGCUUUACAGGGGCGAUUUAGCCUCUACCGUAAGCCUGCGGUACAGGUAAUAGCAUCAAUCUUAUUUCUGUUCUAAGGAAUAGGAGCUCCAGAGGACUGAGCCUCGUGCCCCUAGAUGCACAGCCAGCUGGCAAGCGGCUGAGUCUUAGCACUGGAAAGGACUCACAGCGCCAACUCACCCACAGGCAGAAUUUUAUUCCCAGAGAGUCAAGAAACUUGCCUGAGGUAAGAAGGGAGAGCCAAACUAUAACAGACUCUUAAAAACUGAGAACAAACGGAGGGUUGAUGGGGGGUGGGAGGGAGGGGGGGGUGGGUUGAUGGGCAUUGAGAAGGGCACCUGUUGGGAUGAGCACUGGGUGUUGUAUGGAAACCAAUCUGACAAUAAAUUUCAUAUUAAAAAAAAAAAAAAAGAAGAAGAAGAAGUGGAACUCAAAUGAAAGCCAAAAGUCUGCAGUCCUGAAACAUGGCCAAAGCCAUUUUGUAGCAAUCCGGUAAAAGCCUUGAAAUGACCAUCUCAUAAAGCAACCAGCCAGACCCUCCUUCCUCCCACCUGAGGGUGCCUCCUGGUCACCUGGCCCUGACUUACUCAGCAUGCACCCCCAUUUUUAAUAGAAAGCAUCCUCAAAUGCAAACUUGUCAACUCAUUCAACAUUCAUUCAACAAACACAUGUCAGGUCUCAGGCCUCUGCAAGGCACGAGGUGAGGGUGGAGGUGCAAAGAUCCGUGGCGUGGAACGUGCCCUCCGGGUCCCUCAAGUGCACCAGCACUCUUACUUCACCAGACAGACAUGGAGGAGCCUGAGAGGUGAUGGCUUUUGCUGUUCCUCUUUAACAGUAAGCGGCGCGAGCUCAUGUUUGCCAGAAGAACUAUGCAAACAUUUAUAUAUCCUAAUACCCAUCAAGGCCGCCCCGAAGCAACCUGCCCUGAAUGGCUUGAGUUCUAUUUCCUCUGUUAAAAUUAAGUGUCCCUGGCUGCAUUCAGGGUACACUGUGUUAACCAGUCAAUGAGCAGAGCCAGGAAACUCAGUUUCGAAGGAAAGGAGAAAAAAGGAAUGAGCAGACAUUUAAGGUGAGCAACUGGAAAGCACAUACUUGGAAAGCAAAUGCAUCAAGAAUGGCCUUUGGAGCCAGUUUUGUCUGAUUUGGAUCUUGGCUCCCACCAAUCACAGGCUGUGUGACGUUGAUUAGUCCUGUAGUUGUUCUCAGGUUCCGCUCAAAAUCACGAAACGAUGUACUAACACCCACCUUGCAGGGUUAUUAGAUUCAUGAUAAUGUGUGCAAAAUGCCUAGCACAGUGUCUGCUAUCUUGCAUUGUCCAAUGCAUGGCAACUGCCAUUAUUAUUCACAAUCACUGGAGAUUUCCACUAACACUUGAUUUGUCCCAGUUGUCAAUUAAGUUGAAGACUUCCAAAAGUGCGGAAAAAUAAUUUCUUAAGGCAAAAUUUAAUAAUCAGCUGAGUAAGUAUCUGCUCUGGACUUCAGUGGGGGGUGAGGAAAGCAGGGAGCACUGACUUUUCAAUGACCCUGAGAAAAUAAAAACACAAAUCACAAUGAAAACCGAGCUAAGAAAACUUAUUUUCAAAACACUAGGAUAAGCCUCUGUGUAGACAGCGAAUGAACUCAACAAUUUGUUUCAGAUCAAAAGGCAAACUAUAAAUGAACAUGGAUAUCCCUUUGUCACCAGGGUUGACCAUCUAAGUCUGUGCCAGAACCAGGUGAGGUGGAUCAGGUAAUAGUAGCUGCAAUAACAGAUAAACCCCAAAAGAAAAUCUUGCUUUCUCAUUUGCAUAAAGUCCAACAAAGUGGGGAUAGGAGAGAUGUGAAAGGGGUCCUUCAGGCUAAUCUUCAACAUGAGGCUCCCAAGUCUGCCCUGGCAUCAACAUCCAGCCUACAGAUGGAAAAACAGGAAGGCACCUAUCACCUCUGCAUCCACACUCCAUUGGCUAGAAUUUAGUCACAUGGUCAUACCUAACUGCAAAGGAGGCUGGGAAAACUCAGCCUGUUGGCUGUUUGCUCAGCAGGAACUGGGAAUGGGUUUUCAGAAUAGCAAUCAGUUUCUGCUACACGGCACCUGCAAACACCAGGGAUUCCAUGUUUGGGAAAUCUAAGACCCAUUCUUUCUUGUUUUCAUUCUUGCAACCCAACCCAAGUAUUUAGUCCCCACAUUCAUAGUACUACAGGCAAAUUUCACACAACAAAGUGACAAAAUAGGAGAAUAAAAGAGAGGGUGGUAGAUUAUAAGGGCUCUAAAAGGGGAAAGUCAAAUGAAAUUUACAUUCAGAGGCAAAAUUCAACAUUCACCCUCUCUGCUUAUACAAGACCCUGAAGGUGAAGGCCCUAAGAAACUAUAGCAGCAUUCACAGAGCUGCAUCAGCAGAUUCUGCUGUGUUUUGACAGAGCUAAAUUUAAGCUAGAACUUGAGUCUUUCUCAAAAUGAGAGCCUUUGAUUGAUUGUUUGAGUGUUAUGACUCCUGGAUAUUGUGACUCAAAUCUACAUCCCCAAAUAAUACCAUCUGUAAUGAUCACACCUUGUUCUGGAGAGUUCACCUCUUAGAGCUUCCAGACUUUGGAGAAAUGGCUUCCUUUAUUGGCAUGUCCAAACCAAGUACUCACAACUUGGGCAGCUCUAUCUCUGGAUCACUGCCCAUUUUCCCGGACUCCAUGUGGCUCUGGCCCAGGCCACAAGACGCUCAGGCUGAAGCUUCCUGUCUCUUCUUCCACACCCUUCCACCUUCUUGCAAAAACUGUGUUUUGGAGCUUGUAUCAUCUCAGCUUUAAUUUUUGUAUCAUGACCCACAACAAUAAAUAAAUUUUAUAUUUUGACCCAGUACACAUACACACACACACACACACACACACACACACACACAAUUAAAUCAAAAAUUUCUUGAAACAUUCGUAUUUUAUUAAGAAUGAUGCACUCUGAUACUUUUUGUUCACUUCUGUUUCAAUCCAUUAAAAAAUGCUUCUUGGGACUCACUAAAUGGUUUAGACAAACCAUCUUCUGUAGAUUGUCAUGUCUGUAAUCUACUAGCCUACAGUCACUGGCCUACAUUAGCAGAACUAUUUUUUCUCUCCUUGAGGCCAGUGAACUUCAUCUCUGCUGCACUUUUCCCAUAUUCUCUUAGAACCACACUCUCAUCUUUUCCCCUCAUCACCUUUAAAAUCUUUACCUCCAGUAUCUCCUUGGACUUCCACCCUUGGACUUCCUGUUAUGCCCACUUUACCUACGUUUCAAGCUUAAUCAGGACCUUUAGACCCUUACUCUUUCAUUGACUCUUCUUUAUCAGAAUCUUCCUGGUUUUAUAUUUUCUGCAAUCUACACAGACUCCAUGAUUACAACCUCCUGAUUUGUCCACCAGUCUACUACUUGGCAUGAGAUAUUUUGGUUCUGUCCUCCUGAUAACCAAGCCUACAGCUUGGCCAUCAGCCCAAUGCACAUGGCCAAGAAAAUGUAGGCACUAAAGUAUCUGAGCCAGGCCCAUCAAUUGGGGUUGAUGUCUACAUGGAGUCACCACUGCUUAUUUAUUUAUUCCUUAGCCCACUAUAAUUUUUCCACCUCCAAUCCUUCUGUACUGUUAUAUAGACUGAGGAAUGCAAAGCAUACUCUUUGGGCCUUAUUUUAUUCUCUCUGCAGCUCUAUCUGAGACUAUCAACCUUCAAAAUCUCUCCCCAUCACUUUGAGAGCUCCCUCUUUCCGAAUUUUUUACAUUCUCUUUUGCCACUCCUUUUCAAGCUUCUUUAUAAAUUCUUUCUCCUCUCUCUACCCCUUAACUGCUGGGGUUCUCAAGUUCCUCCCCUUUCAGCACACUGCACAACAUUCCAAGGCAAAGCCAUCCACACCCAUGGUUUCCACUUCCAUCUGUAUAAUGAUGAUUCUCACAAAUAUUCUAAAUCCUCAACCCUCUGUGGCUUCAUAUCCAAUGUCUACCGCAUCCCUUCACCUGGAUGUCUCACAGAGCCUUUCAAAUUCAACAUGUCCCAAACUGAAGUUGGACGUUUCUUCCUACUUAGUGUUUUCCAAUGGUUUUCCAUUGCACUUAGAAGAAAAAUGCAUGAGGAGCACCUGGGUGGCUCAAUCGGUUAAGCAUCCAACUUCAGCUCUGGUCAUGAUCUCACAGUUUGUGAGUUCAAGCCCCACGUUGGGCUCUGUGCUGACAGCUCAGAGCCUGGAGCCUGCUUUGGAUUCUGUGUCUUCCUCUCUCUCUCUGUUCUUCCCCCACUCAUGCUCUGUCUCUCUUUCCUUCAAAAAUAAACAUUAAAAAAAUUUUUUUUAAGAAAGAAAGAAAAAAAAUCCAUGAUUAUUGCCAUGAUCUUCCAAGUCCAGGGGUCUAAAUGGUCUAACUUCUAGCUCCCUUGUCUACCUCAUUAUUUAGACUUUUUUCAUGACUUACUCUGCUCAAGUCAAACUGGCUUCAUUGCUGUUCCUCCAAUAAGCCAAGGAUACAUUUAUCAUAGGGUCUUUGUCCUGUUACUCUUUCUGCCUGAAAUGCUAUUGCCCCAGAGCAGAUAGCCACGAAACUCUCUUCCUCAUCUCACUCAAGCUUCUGCUGAAAUACCAGCUGCUCAUAGAAUCCUCUCUGACUAUUCUAUCAAAAUAGCAUCCUCAUCACUCUUGAUGCCCUUACCCAGCUUUAUUUCUCUUCAGAGAAGCUACCAUCAUAUUACAUGAAUGUGUUUAUUGUCUGUUUACCCAGUUCACUGGAAUAUAAGUUUCUUUAUUUAGCUGAAUCCUCACCACCUAGAACAGGACUUGAGACAAUGUAAGAACUCAAUAAAUAAUUGAUGAGUAAAUGAUUAAUUUAUCUCCUUCUCUCUUACUUCAUGCCCCCAAACUGUGUUUUCUCUGGGAUUCUAGGUAAAAGGUACACGAUUUUCCCAAUCCUAGCCUAACGCAGAAGCUUGAUCUUUAGCCUCAACCCCUUCCUCUUCUUUCCACCCACAUCCCAUUUGUCAUGCAUCUUAGUGUAUCUUUCUAAGUCUCUCUCCUAUCACAUCUGAUUUCUCUAUCUUUGCUGCUGUGGCCUUGUUUUCAGUGUAAUGGAUCCCUUUGUAAAUUUGAUAAAACCUAGGGGUCUUCUCAGGAAAAUAUUCAUGGAAACAUCAUAUUCUUCAUAAAAGGGUUUCUAGAUUUUCCAAAGCCCGGUGUGGACUUCCCUCCUCAGGUGCCACAAUGUCCAAGGGUAAAAAUCUCUGCCUUAAAGAUUCCUUAUUUCUUAUCUGAAUAACUGUGAUGUCUGCUAUGCUCUGAAUGUUUGUACCCCGCCACACCACACCAGAAAAUGCGUAUGUUCAAAUUCCAAUGUGCUUCUAUUAUGAGGUAGUCUUUGGGGGGUGAUUAGGUCAUGAGAGGAGAGCCCAUAUGAAUGGGAUUAGUGACAUAGAUAGACUCACCUCUUUAUCCACGCGAGGUUACGUGGAGAAGGCAGUGGUCAAUGAAGGAGCAAGCUGUCGUCAGACACUAAAUCUGCUGGCACCUUGGUCUUGGACAUCCAGCCUCCAGACCUGUAAGAAAUAAAUGUUUGUUAUUUGUAAACCAUCCUGUUUGCGGUAUUCUGUUAUAGUAGCCCAAAUGGACUAAAACAAUGUCCUCUGACAGGUGUCCCUGCCACCAAUCCUACCCUUCCUUUCAUCCACUUUCCACAAGAGCCGCCUAAGUAAUCUUUUAACAGUGUAGCUUGGUCCAUGGCCUCCUAUUUGUCCCCUGUAACACCUGUUAAUGGUCCUCCAUCACCUUAAGAGCAAUCUCCUCCAUGUGGGUGCAUGCUGCUCCUUAUUCCUCCAGCCUCAGCCCUUUAGUGUUCCACACCCACCCUCAGCUGGAACUAUCCUGAAAAACUCCUCUCUCAUACCUCUGUGCCUUUGCAUGUGAAGGUUCUUUGCCCUACCUGGCCCCUCACUUCCAUCUGCUUGGUUACCUGCUACUCAUCUUCUCCCAAACAGUUCAAGGAUUAUCAUGAAGGCACUCUCUCAUCUCCUGGGGCUUAACUAGAGGCUCUUUCCUCAUAUCAGACUGUUGUGUGAUCAUCAUCUUGUCCAUUUCCCCUGUCAGAUGGUGCAACAUUGAGAACAGGAGCCGUUUUGUUAAUCUCUGUGCACAUAGUGGGUGCUCGAUGAAGGUGUAUUGAAUGACCAGAUGGAAUAAUCAGGUAAAAGAAGAGAGAGGAGGAAGCAGCACAUUUUAGAUUCAUAUAAAUGGGGCAGGUGUAGCCAACACGGCUUCCAAAAUAGGAAAAUCCAUAUUUACAGAGGAGAUAAAGCUGAUAGUUCUUCCAUUUACAAAAAGGAUUCACCACAAGGGGCCUCUAAAUAGCGGGCACUUUAACCACCCUAUGUAAGUGUUUGUUUACAGAUCAUUAAUCAUUUCACAAAGAAGCCAAAAGCUCAAGUGCAUCCAAUCAGAGCCUUUAGAACUGGAUCACAAGGCUUCUGAAAUUACAAGUUAAUGAUUCAAUGUUAAGCUAUACAAUUAACACAUGACUUUUCAGGAACAAGCCAGAGAGAGAGAGAGAGAGAAGGAGAGGGAGGGAGGGAUAAAGAAGAACCAUAGCAACAGGAGAAAUAAUUUUGAGAAGUCUGAAAGACCCAAGAAUUGUCUUAAAGCAGGACAUCUCCCCUCUUGUGUGGCAGGUGGAUGGUUGAGGGUAGGGGGGGGGGGGGGGGGGGGUUCCAAAAUGAUUAGACACCUACAAGUAGGCCUUCAUAGUAGUCAGUAAAGACAAAUUUCUCAACUUCUAGUGAAGACUAGGAUACAGAGAGAUAUUGUCUUGGCCGUCAGUAUGCACUUAACAAGUCAAAUAGAUUUACUCUGGCACAAACCCUAAAGUUCACUCAUCUAUUCACCAAAUAUCAGUUGAACAUCAGUUGAGCACUUGUCACAUGUCAGGCCGUGUGAGAUAAAAUGCUGACCAAGAUCUAGGCAAUCCCUUGCUCUCAAGGAACUUGCAUUUUAGAGGGAGGAGCAAGUGAUCAAUUAACACACGAGGUAAUUUACUGCAGUGAAAGUAGUAGCAAAGGAGUAAGAAAGUGAUGUGACACUGAGGGUGGGGAUACCAUGAGAUUCUCUAGACAAGGAAGGCUCUCUGGGAGCACAUUAUCAGGGCUGAGCCUGAUGGACGAGAAGGAGGCAGCCACAGAAAGAUCUGGAGAAAGGCACUUCUGGAAAAGGGACCAUCAAGGUCCAAAGCCUCAGAUGGGAAAGAUCUAAGGGCCAAAAAGCCCUUAAACCAAAAGAGGCCACUGUAACUGCAGUUCAAUGAAGGAACAAGGCUUGGAUGAGGUUUAGAGGCAGACUUUGCAGAGCUUUGUAAAAUGAAUAAGGACUAUGGAAUUAUUCUAAAUGCAAUGGGAGACCAUUAUUUCAUCAGGAGAUGAUGUACUUAGAAAUAAUCACUGUGGUGGCUAUAUGGAGAAUAGGGAAGAAGGAAUAAACUAGAACACUAGUUAGGGGCUGUUGCAGCAGUACAGAUAGAAGACGACAGUGGCAUGGAGCAGGGUAGUGGUAGAAGCAGACAGAUGUGGACAGAUUGCAGAUCUAGCUCAUAUGGGGCACAGAAAUAUUGUGAGCAAUGACAGGUGGGGCCUCUCUAAGUUCCUUUGCCACUCAAACAUUCUGUGACUAUUACUUGGCUACCAUGGCCAUCAAAAUGGAGCUCCUUGUUGAGGAAAUCUGCCUGUCAUGAAAGCUGGGCAGAGCCGUAGUUGGGUCACACUGUGAUCAUCACAGGCCCAUGACUUUGGGGUAAGAAUUCCUAUAAACCCAUCACUUGAGAAACCCAGAAGAAAUCCAUUCUUUGCAUUCUAGAAGUUCUUCGUCCUGGAGCUAGCACUGCUGCAUCUUCCUUCUUGCCCUGAGCCACUUACACUGUCUUGGGAAUUCUCUAUUUCAGGGAAUGGUGUCACCCAUCCAACCAGAAGACAGCAAACCAUUUUUGACAAUUCUGUUGCAAACUGACCAAAGUCAGGAUGGUUGGUCACAAUUACUCUGCAUUGGGUAGCUAAUGGCAUCUCUCAAAUAUUAGAAUAUAGAGGCUAUAGGUCUCUUUCCCAACAACCUCACAAUCAGAGCAUGCCUCAGACCAGAUUCUGCCUCACGGACAGACAUUUAUUAGCAGACAAGCACAAAAAUGAGCACACAGCUAGGUUUGUGAUCUCAAGCUAACCCAGCUUCCUAUCAUCUAAGCACUCAAAAGCACUUUGCAUUAAAAGUUCACCUUGAGACAAAUGCGACCAUACCCCAUUGCAGGAUUCAGUUAACUGGGACUAGUUAACUGGACAUCUGGGUUCUCAACCAGAGCAGAUUUUGUCCCUCAGUUUUUUCUUCCAGGAAAUUUAUGGAGAUAUUUUUGUCUUUAACAACUGGGGAAAUGCUCCUAGCAUCUAAUCAGUAGAGGACAGGGAUGCGGCUAACCAUCCUAUAAUGCAUUCCAUCUAUUCCCAGGGUCUAUAUGUAUACCUUUCUAAAUAGGUAUAGAAUCCAUCUCUCACCUCUGCCUUCUACUGCCCUAGUUUGGAUCUUCAGCAUUUCAGACAAAGACUUCCUCCCACCUGCUUCCCAGCCCCCCUGUUUCUUCUGGCCCAAUCUCCCACCCUGCUGUCAGACCGAUCUUCCCAAACUAGGACUGGUAUCCUCCUUUUUUUUAAUUUUCCAGUGUCUCUUCCAUGUACAAUAAACUAACUCUUUGCUUUCUUUCCUGCCUCUUCUCCCCUGGGCAUUUUAUCUCAACCUGCUACAGUUGCUUUAGUAUACCAAAUUCUUCCAAAUCUCUGUGCCUUUGUACAUGCUAUUCCUCUGCCUGGAAGGCCUUCCUGUCUCUCUUUCUUACUCCCUUCCACCUUUCUAUGUACCCACAGCUUGAGCCUAAACUCAAAUACUGCCUCAUCCUUUGGCAACUCCAAGCCAACCCUGGGCCUCCUUACUGACCUUGCCUUAUUCUGUACAAAUCUCUACUGAAGCCAAUGUCCUAGUUGUCUUUCUGUACUGCAACUAUUUGCCUGUCUACUCCCCUCCUAACUCUGAACUCCUAUAUGAUUAAUUCAUUGGGCCCAGCAUGCCUACACAGUAGGCAGCAGCUAAAUAUGUGUUCAAUAAAUGAUCACUUUCUAUGCCCUGGGUAGUGUGGUUUUUGCUUUUUGUUUUGUUCUUUAACAGAUUUUAAAUUCUUCAAAUUUUCAGAAGAUGAAGUGAUACAAAUGAGGUACUGUGGUUUUCAAAUCUCAGUGUGCCUAAGAAUCCUCCUAAAGACUUGUUUCAAAAGCAGAUUCAGGGGCCCCAAAUACCCAGGUAGUUUUUAAAAUUAAUAAAUUUUUAAAAAGUGAGAUUUAAUUUACAUAUCAUGAAAUUCAUCCUUUAAAACUAUACAAUCCAGUGAUUUCGUAGUAUAUUCACAAAGUUGUGCAAUUGUCACCACUAUCAAAUUCUAAAACAUUUUUAUCUUUCUAGAGAGAAAACCGUAUUUAUUAGCUGUCACCCUUUGUUUACCCCUCCCCCCAACCCCAACCCCUGGCAAUCACUAAAUUCCUUUCUGGUCUCUGUGGAUUUGCCUAGUCUGAAUAUUUCCUAUAUUCCUAUUUCCUAUAUUGGGUUGUUUUGGUAUAUUUGUUGUUGUUGAAUGGUAGGGGUUCUUAAUAUGUUUUCGGUAUUAACUCCUUAAUAGAUAUAUGAUUUGCAAAUAUUUUCUCUCAUUCUGUGUGUUAUGUUUUCAUCUCUCGACAGUUUUUUGAUGUGUAAGUGUUUUUUAAUUUGAAGAAGUCCAAUGUAUCUAUUUUUCUUUUAUUUCUUGAGCAUCUGAUAUCAUAUCUAAGAAACCAUCACCUCAUCCAAGGUCACAAAAAUUUAUGCCUAUGUUUUCCUCUAAGUUUUAUUAGCUCUUAUAUUUAAAUCAUUGACCCAUUUGAAUUAACUUUCAUAUGGGGUGUGAAGUAAGGGUCCAAUCUCAUUCUUUUGUAUGUAGAUAUCCAGUUGUCCCAGCACCAUUCCUUAAAAAAGGCUAAUCUUUUCCCCAUUGAAGGGUAGAAAGUCAACUGAUGAGAAAUGUAAAAGGUUUGUUUUUUUUUGAUUCUCAACCAUAUCCCUUUGAUAUACAUGUACUUAUUUCUAUGCCUGUACCACACACUCAAAUAGCCAAGGAGCCACAUUUGGAAGAACCUUUGUCUAACUUACAGUUGUUACAAAUAAGAGCUAAUCCAAAACAAUGGUUCCCAACCAGACUGAACAUGACAAUCAUUACAAGGGUUUCAAAAAGAAAAAACUCCUGAUCUCCAGGUGUUCCUCUGUCCCAUCUCCCUCUCAUCCCCUAGGGUUUGGAUUCAGCAGAUGGCCCUGAGGCUCAGGAACUGCUGUUUUUAAAAUGCCACUCUCAUGAUCAUCCAGAAUUGGGAAUCGCUGGUCCAGGUGAUCAUUUAAAGUCCUUUCCAACACAAGGGACCUAUAAUGUUAGGAAAAGAGAAAAUUUAAGGUAGAAGUUUGACCCCAAAACACGUUAAAUGAUCAUCCUAUGUGUAUUUGGCCUACAGAAGGCAUUUCUCUGAUGAAAUAAAUUUGGAUAUGAUUUUAUGAAAAACAAUUGAAGUCAAAGGACCAGUAUUACUCAAGAUGUUUAGAUUAGGAGGAGCUAUUUCAUAGUAUUAAUGCAGAUGUGGGAACUCGCCCUAAGGCCAGGCACAGUGCCUUCCUUGGGCUCCCACGGCCCCAUGCUCUGUCGAUGAAGUGUCUGUCUCCCUCACUAAUCUCUGGAACUUCUUGAGCAGAAACAGGAUUUUUUCCAUUUUGGAUUUCCAACGUCCAUCGCUGUGCCUAGAAAAUUGCAGGUACUCAAUAAAAUGUCAAAUUAAACUAAACAUAGUUUCUAUAUUUAAUCAAGUGCACAGAUAAGGUCAAAUAGCAGGCUUUAUGUAAAAAUGCUAGGUAUGUGAUGCUUUGAAAACAGAACUGGAAAGGAAUUAAGCAAUGGGAUUAAAAAGAUUAUUUUUUUAAAAAACCAAGCAAUUAUUUUUGCAUCAUGUUUAUCAUCUUAGUCCUUACCCGCCUGCUUACUGACUGUAUUUAUUCCUCUGGGUCCCAGCAGGAAACAGAUGGCUCACCAGAGUUGAAUGGAGAAACGAUUUCCAGGGGAGUGGGCAGAAUUAAGGGGACAACAAGAAAUGAAGCCCGUGGGACUAGCGACAGUGAGAUGUCCUAACCUUCUCUAGGCCUGAAGGGACCAGGGAACAGAGCAGAGUGGCCAGAACCUAGUGAGAGCUGGAACCCAGACAGAGGGCCGCACAGCAGGACCUGCAGCCAUUGGCACGAAAUAGGCAGAAAAGAGCACAACAUUCCUCAGGAAGGUCGACUGGAGAAUCGCCAGCAUACUCACCCAUGAGGAACAGAAAGCCAUGGACAUCAACAAUAAUCCAUUGGAAAAAACCAGAAAUGUAAGGAGCUGAGGUGCAGAAAUCAGUUAAUCUUCUUAGUCUUCAGCUAUUUUGACCUUUCUGGAACAUUGCGCUUUCAUUAAUUCAUUUAUCAAAUACUUGAGUCUUUUUAUGUUGUCAGCACUGUUUUUGGCCCUGGGGAUACAAAGAAGAAUAAGACACGUUUCCUGCUCUCACAAAGUUUUCAUUGGGGACUGAGGGACACAGGCAAACAAUGACAAUACAAUAUGAUAGUACAAUGGUGGGUGUAUUUGUUGCCUAGGGCCGUUGUGACUUGCCCAG